rnacentral:rRNA from 1 species
AGAUUGAACGCUGGCGGCAGGCCUAACACAUGCAAGUCGAGCGCGAAAGUUCCUUCGGGAAUGAGUAGAGCGGCGGACGGGUGAGUAACGCGUAGGAAUUUGCCCAGUAGUGGGGGACAACUCGGGGAAACUCGAGCUAAUACCGCAUACGCCCCAAGGGGGAAAGCAGGGGAUCUUCGGACCUUGCGCUAUUGGAUAAGCCUGCGUCGGAUUAGCUAGUUGGUGGGGUAAGGCCUACCAAGGCAACGAUCCGUAGCUGGUCUGAGAGGAUGAUCAGCCACACUGGGACUGAGACACGCCCAGACUCCUACGGGAGGCAGCGAGGUGGGAAUAUUGGACAAGUGGGGGCAACCCGUGACUCCAGCCAUCGCCGCGUGUGUAGAAGGUAAGGUCCGUUAAGGGUUAGUAAAGUCCGUAACGUUU